UCUCAAUCUUUCCCAAGUUAUAUAAAACGAUUAGAUAUGCACUUUUCUGUUCCUCCACGGAUAUAACAUUCUGAUCAAAGGUAGCUCACUCAAUUGAGCAACUCUUUUCCAAUACGACUUGGAUUUCAUUCCGCUUGUCCAAGAGCUUCAUAGACCGGCGAGCUCGAGAAGUAGACGUUGGACAUUAGAUAGAGUUCAAGGUAAACAGGGAGGUGAGCUUGAUCCAGAUUCUUAGUAGUUGUCAGCUGAUUGAGAGCACUCCAUUGUUCGGAGGUGCUUAUGUUUAUUCUUUUGGUUCCUUUAUGUAUUUCGCGCACGACGGAGUCCUGUUCCGUCUAUAUGUAUAAUAUGUCAGUAGAGGCUCGUAGACACGCAGUGCGGGUUAGAUGGUCUCACAAGAUUACUAUAUUAUAUUUGUAUAUGUUAUUUUGAUGGCCUAAUGGGCACAUGCAUAUAAAAUCAUUUGUGUUGUCAAAUGAAAAAUGGUUGUCUUAUGAUUAUGAGGUUAUGAAUGAUAAAGAAAUGUAAAAUGGUUAUGACAAGUGAGGAAACGAGCGGUGCUCGGUGGUUAGCCCCGGGUACCCGUCGCGGCCCUAGUCGGGUCGUGACAGAAGUGGUAUCAGAGCCGUUCGUCCUAGAAAGUGUCUACGAGCCGUGUCUAGUAGAGUUUUGUUUAUGGUGUGUUGCGCGCCACAUUUAUAAACAGGAAGCUACAGGACAUUUAGGAUGUUACCUUUCCCUCCUACUCUAGAUCGUGCGAUAGAGCCAAGAGAUAGGAAAGGAUAUCCCUUAUGUACUAACCUUUGAUUUCAGCAGGAGAGUGGUGUCGACAAGUGAAGGUAAAUAAUGCUACUGGAAGUUACAGAGGAUAAUAUUUCAUUGAGGUUACGUUAUCAGAAAUUGUAAACACAGAAUGGCGAUUGGUCAUCAUCAAGGUUAGUAAUUGUGAAUAUAGUAAGAAAAUGGAUUGAAUGUAUAUAUAUUGAUGAUAAGUUCAGUUAUAAAGUGUGAACAGAAGAAGCUGAAGGAAUUAAAAAAAAAAUAAAAAAAUAAGCAGGGUAUAUGUUAGAUAUGGUGCGAAUGUUGCAGGUAUGAUUGAAAUGUCGGUAACGAUUUAAAAGGGAAAGUAGACCGAAACGUAUAACGGGUACAGUUUGAGUUGGACAUACGAGGUAAGUUCAUCAUUUUUUUUUAUAUAUGGUUGUUGAUAUUGGGAGCCCUGUGUGGCUAUGAUACGAUAAAUAUAUAUAUACAUAUAUAUACUGGCCCUGUGAGGCAUUGUUGGUAUUUCCUGCGUGCAGGUUUUGGGAUAGUAAGAAAUACAGAGGAAACUCUGCCGAAAUUUUCCUAGAAAUAAAGGAGAAUGAGAUAUAGGUUCGUAAAAGUUCAUGUCAACAAUAAUGAUAAGAUUUGACUAAGUUGCGAGUAUGACUGACUUAAAAAAAAAAAAGUUAACCGUUGAAUUGAUGGUAAUAGUAAUCAUGAGGUCGAUAUCGAUAUGGUAAAAAGAAAUGCUAGGACAAUUUGGAAGGGCUUGUGAUAAUAAGAGAUGAUUUAGAAAAGGGUGGGAAAUUUUAAUAGAGUGUUAUAUUGAGGUAUCAACUGAAUUAAUAAGCAGGGAUAAAUUACGACGAGUUUAUAGUUAGAAGAAAUAAUAGUAUGAUUGAGACAAGAGUAUAGACAAAGAAGAAUUGUGACGAAUAUGAAUGUAUUGAUAAGACAGCUUGUAAGGUAUUAAGGAUAAGAUUGACCAGAAAGGGUAAAAGGUUAAGAAGUGUUACUUAAAAGAUGACUCCACCAAAAUCAACUUAACCUUCAAGCGUAGAUGGACACAGUAAGUUGCAGUCAAUUAUAGAAGUAUCUAAAUUAUGACUACCUUCUUUGGAAAUAUUAAUCGGUGUCAAGUGGAGAAUUGUAUUAAGUUAAGCAAGGAGAGACACAGCAUGAUAGAAGAGUAACUGAUUCUUCAUAAGAUCACCAUAUCCAGUAUACUUAUACAGGACUAGUUUAACAUUCGAGGACGAAUGUUCUAAAGGGGGGAAGAAUGUUACAACCUGUAUUUUUGUACGUUGGAUUAUUCGUAAGUUAACCGACGUAGGUUCAAGGACAAGAUUAAAUUCGAGGUUAUAAGUAUUGAUGUAAUUCUGAACAAGUGAUAAGAAAGUGUGUGAAGGAUAAUUCCUUAUUUAAGUGAGUUGAGAUCAAGAAAUUA